rnacentral:rRNA from 1 species
UUCGGAAUUACUGGGCGUAAAGGGCUCGUAGGCGGUUCGCUAAGUCGGGUGUGAAAUCUCCACGCUCAACGUGGAGAGGCCAUUCGAUACUGUCGUGACUCGAGUCCGGUAGGGGAGUGUGGAAUUCCCGGUGUAGCGGUGAAAUGCGCAGAGAUCGGGAGGAACACCCGUAGCGAAGGCGGCACUCUGGGCCGGUACUGACGCUGAGGAGCGAAAGCGUGGGGAGCAAACAGG